GUGCCAGCCGCCGCGGUAAUACGGAGGGGGUUAGCGUUGUUCGGAAUUACUGGGCGUAAAGCGCGCGUAGGCGGACUGGAAAGUUGGGGGUGAAAUCCCGGGGCUCAACCCCGGAACUGCCUUCAAAACUCCCGGUCUUGAGUUCGAGAGAGGUGAGUGGAAUUCCGAGUGUAGAGGUGGAAUUCGUAGAUAUUCGGAAGAACACCAGUGGCGAAGGCGGCUCACUGGCUCGAUACUGACGCUGAGGUGCGAAAGUGUGGGGAGCAAACAGGAUUAGAUACCCUGGUAGUCCACACCGUAAACGAUGAAUGCCAGUCGUCGGGCAGUAUACUGUUCGGUGGCACACCUAACGGAUUAAGCAUUCCGCCUGGGGAGUACGGUCGCAAGAUUAAAACUCAAAUGAAUUGGCGG
rnacentral:rRNA from 1 species